rnacentral:rRNA from 1 species
GUAUUGGAAAAUGCGUCUGGCACAACAU